rnacentral:tRNA from 1 species
UGGGGUGUGGCUUAUUUGGAAGGCACAUACUUAGCAUGUAGGAGGUCCUGGGUUUGAUUCACAGCACUACAU